UACGUAGGGGGCAAGCGUUGUCCGGAUUUAUUGGGCGUAAAGAGCGUGUAGGCGGCCAAGCAGGUCCGCUGUGAAAACUCGAGGCUCAACCUCGAGACGUCGGUGGAAACCGUUUGGCUAGAGUCCGGAAGAGGAGAGUGGAAGUUCCCGGUGUAGCGGUGAAAUGCGCAGAUAUCGGGAAGAACACCCGUGGCGAAGGCGGCUCGCUGGCCUGGUAACUGACGCUGAGACGCGAAAGCGUGGGGAGCAAACAGG
rnacentral:rRNA from 1 species